GAUGAAGAACGUAGCGAAAUGCGAUAAGUAAUGUGAAUUGCAGAAUUCAGUGAAUCAUCGAAUCUUUGAACGCUUCUUGCGUUUCUUGGUAUUCUGAGGAGCAUGCCUGUUUGAGUGUCAUUAAAUUCUCAACUACACUGACUUUGAAUUGGUGUGGCUUGGAUUUGGGGGGAAAAUUGUUGUGGGCUUUUUGUAUAGUCUGCUCCCCUGAAAUUGAUUAGCGGUACCUUUGUGGAACUGUCUACAGGUGUGAUAAUUAUCUACAUCUUACACAUCUGCUGGAAUGCUGCUUUCUAAACCUUACUUGUAUUGACAAUCUUGACCUCAAAUCAGGUAGGACUACCCGCUGAACUUAAGCAUAUCAAUAAGCGGAGGA
rnacentral:misc_RNA from 1 species